rnacentral:lncRNA from 1 species
CGGAACCCGCCCUUCCCUUCCGAUGAUACCUCUGCCGGCCCCUCCCCCGCUGCCGCCUCCGUGAACUGUUGUUUUCCGCCGCCUCCGCCGUUUCCUGACUCCCAUGUCCUCCACCUCCGCCUCCGCCUCCCCCGCCCCCGCCGCAAGCAGGAUGACGACGAAGACGCGCCCCUUCUCCGCGAGCGAACUGGCGCAUGAGGCCAAACGUGAGGCCGCCCCGAGCGUGGAGCGAAGGUCCUGGGCGGCCAUCGGCGCCAACUGCUGCCUUCUCCUCGUCGGCGUCGGCG